rnacentral:rRNA from 1 species
GCAAGUCGAACGAGACCUUCGGGUCUAGUGGCGCACGGGUGCGUAAAGAGUGGGAACUGGCCCAAAGGUGCGGAAUAACUCAGGGAAACUUGAGCUAAUACCGCAUGAUGCCGAAAGGCCAAAGAUUUAUCGCCUUUGGAUGGGCCCGCGUCGGAUUAGCUUGUUGGUGGGGUAAUGGCCCACCAAGGCGACGAUCCGUAGCUGGUUUGAGAGGAUGAUC